rnacentral:lncRNA from 1 species
GAGCGGCCAGGUGGAGGAGGAGCGCGGAGGCGACCGCAGCAUCUGCCUGCCCUUCUGCCAUCCGAGCGCCCUGACUGCGCCACACUGCAGGCCAUGGAGAAUGAGCUGCCAGUCCCACAUACAUCUAGCAGUGCCUGUGCCACCAGCAGUACCAGCGGGGCCAGUAGCAGCAGUGGCUGCAACAACAGCAGCAGUGGUGGAAGUGGCCGCCCCACCGGGCCCCAGAUUUCUGUGUACAGUGGUAUUCCAGACCGGCAGACCGUGCAGGUGAUCCAGCAGGCCCUGCACAGACAGCCCAGCACGGCCGCUCAGUACCUGCAGCAGAUGUACGCCGCCCAGCAGCAGCACCUCAUGCUGCAGACCGCGGCGCUCCAGCAGCAGCACCUCAGCAGCGCCCAGCUCCAGAGCCUGGCAGCCGUACAGCAGGCAAGCCUGGUAUCCAAUAGACAAGGAAGCACUUCAGGCAGCAAUGUGUCUGCGCAGGCCCCGGCCCAGUCAUCUUCGAUCAACCUGGCAGCCUCCCCAGCAGCAGCCCAGCUCCUCAACCGGGCCCAGAGUGUGAACUCUGCAGCAGCCUCAGGCAUCGCUCAGCAGGCUGUGCUCUUGGGCAACACGUCUUCCCCAGCCCUGACUGCAAGCCAAGCACAGAUGUAUCUGAGGGCACAGAUGCUCAUCUUCACGCCCACGGCCACCGUCGCUACUGUGCAGCCUGAGCUCGGCACUGGCUCCCCCGCCCGGCCCCCCACCCCCGCCCAGGUACAGAACUUGACCCUCCGAACACAGCAGACACCAGCGGCAGCAGCCUCGGGCCCCACCCCCACUCAGCCUGUCCUGCCCAGCUUGGCCCUGAAACCCACGCCGGGCGGUAGCCAGCCUCUGCCUACCCCAGCAC